AUGAGAAGCAAAGAUAAUAUAUGGCGGGGAACAAAAAGGAAAAGUGUUGAGAAAGGAGGAAGGAUUGUAUUUAUUAUUGCAACUGGAGUGGCCGUGUCGUUGGGGUUGGGGACACUCUCUAACUGUUACCCAGUGCCAGUAAAGGAAUUGCUUCUUUUUUCUACAACUAGAACGCGCAUUCACAAUCGGAGUAGGAAGAAGCUCUUUGGUAUUGGUCAGAAAACGUUUUGCGUUGAAGCUGCAAAUGCAAAUUAUGAAUUUGAUCCAGAUCUGCGAUCUGUGAUUGAACUUGCCACUGAUUCUGAGUUGUACGAGAUUGAAGCAAUCCUUUUCGGGCCAAGCUACUCGAGUCCUUUGCUCAAAUCCAUUCCAUUGGCAUUAUUCAGAAACACAAAUGAAAAUGGUGGCCUCGACCGUUCCAUGAUUGGAUCUUGUAGGGAACAAGAAUCCGGCAACUACCCUGCCUUGUUCGACGUUGUAAGAACUUCGUCUCAAGGUCAAGCCACUCUACAACAUGAACUUAGUCAAUGGAAAGUGCAGUCAAAAGUUGGGGCCCAAGACAUUCCAUCAAUUGUUUUAAAGGGAGGUGGUGUAUUUACUUUGUCCAAGAUAUAUCAAUUGUUAGCAAGGAAAUUAUCUGGGAAAGCUCUUGUAGAAGCUGCCAAUUGCCAGGUUUAAGAAAGAGUUAGUGAAGAAGGGUGGACAGUUAGCUAUGAUUAAUCUAGAAUCCACAGCAGCCUUGCUUGCAGCAAAACAGGCUUUGGGGAACGUUUUUGGCUGAUCUUGUCAUUCAAAUGCUCGGAACAGAUUAUGCUAGAAUCUUGCGAACAAUUUAUGCUUUGGCUCAGGCAAGAUGUUCUAUUGUUCCAUGUUAAUCUUGCGACCUUACUAGAUCCUGGGUUUACCUGCCUACCCAGCUUGAUAUGAUACUUCAUAUUGUGCUUAUUUGGUUAUUUUAUUUAUUAAGAGCACUUGUGGUCUUCAAUUUUUUUUUAUCCGUAGGAAUUAAAAAUGGUGUCAGGAGAUUUACAAUAACUCACGCACCUUGUUCAACCAACUAAGAUUCGAGUCAUCCGCACAUGUCGGCUGCCUUCGGACAUCACUGGUGAAUAGUUCAGGAAUUUCAUUUCAUGGAUUUAGUAGUAAAGGAUUCUGUUGGAUUUUGGGCCUCGUUGAAGUUGAAGCGUUUGGAGGAACGUCAUGUUUAGGUAAACACUUUUAGAGCAAGACAACCUACACGUUUGAAAAAUUGUAAAUAUCUAGGAUUAGUAUUUGUGCAUAACUUUUUGGCUUAAUUGCAAAAUUUAUCUCGCUGUUUUGUCUAUUUUAUCAAAUCGGUUUUCCUAUUUUUUAAUUCAUUAUCUGAGUUGCCCUAUAUUUUCAAAUUUAUUAUCUUAGUCCUCAAAGCUAAUUUUAACCAUUGAAUAUUAAAUUUUAAAUGUUGAUUUUAACCGUUGACUGGUAAAGGAAUGUGUCAUUCACUCACAGGAUCAUGGUUCUAGUCAUUCCUCAAGUAAUUUUUUAAGUUCUUAUUUUUUAAGAAAAUAUUAGUCAACUUUCUACUCUAGUCAACUUUUAAAAUUUAACCGUCAAUGGUUAGUCAACGGUUAAAAUUAGCUCUUAAUUGGACUAAGAUAAUAAAUUUUGAAAUAUGGGGGUACUCGGAUAAUAAAUUAAAAAAUAAGAUGACCGAUUUAGUGAAAUAGACAAAAUAGAGAAACGAAAUUUACAAUUAAGUCUAACUUUUUUUUUACUGCUGAGCUACAUUCUUCAUUCGAGGACCUAUUGAUUGUUGGUAGAUAAUUGAAGAUGGACUAAUCGAUUUUGUUGUGCAUGUGGUGCUAUAGUUUCCAUUUCUGCUUGAAUCAGAACCUCAGCUUAUAUAA